ACGCGCCCCGCUGAUGACUCUGUGGAAGCGAGCAGGCGGCGUUCUUCCCCGUUGAG
rnacentral:scRNA from 1 species